GCAUCUCCCUUACACUGAGAAGUCACCCGUGCAACUCGAGUCGUUCUGA
rnacentral:tRNA from 1 species